rnacentral:rRNA from 1 species
CAGCCGCCGCGGGAAUACGGAGGAUCCAAGCGUUAUCCGGAAUCAUUGGGUUUAAAGGGUCCGUAGGCGGUCUUGUAAGUCAGUGGUGAAAGCCCAUCGCUCAACGGUGGAACGGCCAUUGAUACUGCAGGACUUGAAUUAUUGGGAAGUAACUAGAAUAUGUAGUGUAGCGGUGAAAUGCUUAGAGAUUACAUGGAAUACCAAUUGCGAAGGCAGGUUACUACCAAUUGAUUGACGCUGAUGGACGAAAGCGUGGGUAGCGAACAGGAUUAGAUACCCCGGUAGUCCCUGUCUCUUAUAU